rnacentral:rRNA from 1 species
AGCAGCCGCGGUAAUUCCAGCUCCAAUAGCGUAUAUUAAAGUUGUUGCAGUUAAAAAGCUCGUAGUUGAACUUCGGGGUCUACCCAUUGGUCAGGCUUAAUUGUCUGCACUGGUGGGAUGGAUCUCUACCUUCUGAGGAACUUUCAUGCCAUUUAUUUGGUGUGAUUGGAAAUCAGGACUGUUACUUUGAAAAAUUAGGGUGUUUAAAGCAGACUAUCGUCUGAAUACAUUAGCAUGGAAUAAUGGAAUAGGACGGACUGAUUCUAUUUCGUUGGUUUCUAGGAUCACCGUAAUGAUUAAUAGGGAUAGUUGGGGGCAUUAGUAUUCAAUUGUCAGAGGUGAAAUUCUUGGAUUUAUUGAAGACUAACUACUGCGAAAGCAUUUGCCAAGGAUGUUUUCAUUAAUCAAGAACGAAAGUUAGGGGAUCGAAGACGAUCAGAUACCGUCGUAGUCUUAACCAUAAACUAUGCCGACUAGGGAUCGGACGAAGUUAAUUUUAUAAUGACAC